GUGGGGAAUAUUGGACAAUGGGCGCAAGCCUGAUCCAGCCAUGCCGCGUGAGUGAUGAAGGCCCUAGGGUUGUAAAGCUCUUUCACCGGUGAAGAUAAUGACGGUAACCGGAGAAGAAGCCCCGGCUAACUUCGUGCCAGCAGCCGCGGUAAUACGAAGGGGGCUAGCGUUGUUCGGAAUUACUGGGCGUAAAGCGCACGUAGGCGGAUAUUUAAGUUAGGGGUGAAAUCCCAGGGCUCAACCCUGGAACUGCCUCUAAUACUGGGUAUCUCGAGUCCGAGAGAGGUGAGUGGAAUUCCGAGUGUAGAGGUGAAAUUCGUAGAUAUUCGGAGGAACACCAGUGGCGAAGGCGGCUCACUGGCUCGGUACUGACGCUGAGGUGCGAAAGCGUGGGGAGCAAACAGGAUUAGAAACCCGUGUAGUCC
rnacentral:rRNA from 1 species